CCUACGGGAGGCAGCAGUGAGGAAUAUUGGUCAAUGGACGCAAGUCUGAACCAGCCAUGCCGCGUGAAGGAUGACGGCCCUCUGAGUUGUAAACUGCUUUUGUACGGGGGUAAACCCAGUUACGUGUAUCGGGUUGAAUGUACCGUACGAAUAAGGAUCGGCUAACUCCGUGCCAGCAGCCGCGGUAAUACGGAGGAUCCGAUCGUUAUCAGGAUUUAUUUGGUGUAACGUGUGCGUAGGCGGUAUGAUAAGUUAGAGGUGAAAUGUCGGGGCUCAACGCUGAAACUGCCUUUGAUACUGGUAGACUAGAGAAUAGGAGCGGUAGGCGGAAUGUAAGGUGUAGGGGUGAAAUGCGUAGAGAUCAGACAGAACACCGAUUGCGAAGGCAGCUAA
rnacentral:rRNA from 1 species